rnacentral:misc_RNA from 1 species
GCAAACUUGGUCAUUUAGAGGAAGUAAAAGUCGUAACAAGGUUUCCGUAGGUGAACCUGCGGAAGGAUCAUUACUGAGGUUUGCGUGGUCGGCGUUCUCGGAGACGAGGACGGUUUGGACUGCGGUUACCCGAUCUAUUGUCAUUUGCUGGCCGGGAGGGGUGGGCUACUCUGGAAGUGGACUAGUCUGACGUUUGACGACGGACGACAUGUCUUUCUGGAUAGACCACCACCAAGGCACGAUAUUUCCGCGGAAGAGGUAGCCGUUGAGCUGCCCGCCGCGGGCCAUCAUUUUACAACUCUUUUCUUUGAGAAAUCUGCGAUGUCUGAAUGAACCACGAAAUGAAAAGCAAAACUUUCAACAACGGAUCUCUUGGCUCUGGCAUCGAUGAAGAACGCAGC